rnacentral:rRNA from 1 species
UUAAGCGACUAAGCGUACACGGUGGAUGCCCUGGCAGUCAGAGGCGAUGAAGGACGUGCUAAUCUGCGAUAAGCGUCGGUGAGGUGAUAUGAACCGUUAUAACCGGCGAUUUCCGAAUGGGGAAACCCAGUGUGUUUCGACACACUAUCAUUAACUGAAUCCAUAGGUUAAUGAGGCGAACCGGGGGAACUGAAACAUCUAAGUACCCCGAGGAAAAGAAAUCAACCGAGAUUCCCCCAGUAGCGGCGAGCGAACGGGGAGGAGCCCAGAGCCUGAAUCAGUGUGUGUGUUAGUGGAAGCGUCUGGAAAGGCGUGCGAUACAGGGUGACAGCCCCGUACACAAAAAUGCACAUAUUGUGAGCUCGAUGAGUAGGGCGGGACACGUGGUAUCCUGUCUGAAUAUGGGGGGACCAUCCUCCAAGGCUAAAUACUCCUGACUGACCGAUAGUGAACCAGUACCGUGAGGGAAAGGCGAAAAGAACCCCGGCGAGGGGAGUGAAAAAGAACCUGAAACCGUGUACGUACAAGCAGUGGGAGCCUCUUGAUGGGGUGACUGCGUACCUUUUGUAUAAUGGGUCAGCGACUUAUAUUCUGUAGCAAGGUUAACCGAAUAGGGGAGCCGAAGGGAAACCGAGUCUUAACUGGGCGUUAAGUUGCAGGGUAUAGACCCGAAACCCGGUGAUCUAGCCAUGGGCAGGUUGAAGGUUGGGUAACACUAACUGGAGGACCGAACCGACUAAUGUUGAAAAAUUAGCGGAUGACUUGUGGCUGGGGGUGAAAGGCCAAUCAAACCGGGAGAUAGCUGGUUCUCCCCGAAAGCUAUUUAGGUAGCGCCUCGUGAAUUCAUCUCCGGGGGUAGAGCACUGUUUCGGCAAGGGGGUCAUCCCGACUUACCAACCCGAUGCAAACUGCGAAUACCGGAGAAUGUUAUCACGGGAGACACACGGCGGGUGCUAACGUCCGUCGUGAAGAGGGAAACAACCCAGACCGCCAGCUAAGGUCCCAAAGUCAUGGUUAAGUGGGAAACGAUGUGGGAAGGCCCAGACAGCCAGGAUGUUGGCUUAGAAGCAGCCAUCAUUUAAAGAAAGCGUAAUAGCUCACUGGUCGAGUCGGCCUGCGCGGAAGAUGUAACGGGGCUAAACCAUGCACCGAAGCUGCGGCAGCGACACUAUGUGUUGUUGGGUAGGGGAGCGUUCUGUAAGCCUGUGAAGGUGGCCUGUGAGGGUUGCUGGAGGUAUCAGAAGUGCGAAUGCUGACAUAAGUAACGAUAAAGCGGGUGAAAAGCCCGCUCGCCGGAAGACCAAGGGUUCCUGUCCAACGUUAAUCGGGGCAGGGUGAGUCGACCCCUAAGGCGAGGCCGAAAGGCGUAGUCGAUGGGAAACAGGUUAAUAUUCCUGUACUUGGUGUUACUGCGAAGGGGGGACGGAGAAGGCUAUGUUGGCCGGGCGACGGUUGUCCCGGUUUAAGCGUGUAGGCUGGUUUUCCAGGCAAAUCCGGAAAACCAAGGCUGAGGCGUGAUGACGAGGCACUACGGUGCUGAAGCGACAAAUGCCCUGCUUCCAGGAAAAGCCUCUAAGCAUCAGGUAACAUCAAAUCGUACCCCAAACCGACACAGGUGGUCAGGUAGAGAAUACCAAGGCGCUUGAGAGAACUCGGGUGAAGGAACUAGGCAAAAUGGUGCCGUAACUUCGGGAGAAGGCACGCUGAUAUGUAGGUGAAGCGACUUGCUCGUGGAGCUGAAAUCAGUCGAAGAUACCAGCUGGCUGCAACUGUUUAUUAAAAACACAGCACUGUGCAAACACGAAAGUGGACGUAUACGGUGUGACGCCUGCCCGGUGCCGGAAGGUUAAUUGAUGGGGUUAGCGGCAACGCGAAGCUCUUGAUCGAAGCCCCGGUAAACGGCGGCCGUAACUAUAACGGUCCUAAGGUAGCGAAAUUCCUUGUCGGGUAAGUUCCGACCUGCACGAAUGGCGUAAUGAUGGCCAGGCUGUCUCCACCCGAGACUCAGUGAAAUUGAACUCGCUGUGAAGAUGCAGUGUACCCGCGGCAAGACGGAAAGACCCCGUGAACCUUUACUAUAGCUUGACACUGAACAUUGAGCCUUGAUGUGUAGGAUAGGUGGGAGGCUUUGAAGUGUGGACGCCAGUCUGCAUGGAGCCGACCUUGAAAUACCACCCUUUAAUGUUUGAUGUUCUAACGUUGGCCCGUAAUCCGGGUUGCGGACAGUGUCUGGUGGGUAGUUUGACUGGGGCGGUCUCCUCCUAAAGAGUAACGGAGGAGCACGAAGGUUGGCUAAUCCUGGUCGGACAUCAGGAGGUUAGUGCAAUGGCAUAAGCCAGCUUGACUGCGAGCGUGACGGCGCGAGCAGGUGCGAAAGCAGGUCAUAGUGAUCCGGUGGUUCUGAAUGGAAGGGCCAUCGCUCAACGGAUAAAAGGUACUCCGGGGAUAACAGGCUGAUACCGCCCAAGAGUUCAUAUCGACGGCGGUGUUUGGCACCUCGAUGUCGGCUCAUCACAUCCUGGGGCUGAAGUAGGUCCCAAGGGUAUGGCUGUUCGCCAUUUAAAGUGGUACGCGAGCUGGGUUUAGAACGUCGUGAGACAGUUCGGUCCCUAUCUGCCGUGGGCGCUGGAGAACUGAGGGGGGCUGCUCCUAGUACGAGAGGACCGGAGUGGACGCAUCACUGGUGUUCGGGUUGUCAUGCCAAUG